rnacentral:lncRNA from 1 species
ACUCUACUCUCAGGGAUCUAGAAGCCAUUCUCGCCCUCUGGAAUCCCUGCUCCAUCAACUGUCCUUUCUCUCUCUCUUGCACUUUCUCUUUAGUGCUUACUUUCUCUUUUGCCUAUAAACACACUGAGCUUGUCUUAGCCUUUGAAAACAACUAAAUAAGAAGCUUACAAAAGGUGGGAAAGCCAAUUCCCAACACUCUACUGAAAGUGUCCUCUCAAGAUGCACCAAUGACACAGUCAUCAAACCCAAUGGCCUGAGCAUGCUCAUCCUUCACCCCUCUUGACCAUCCUGCAGCAUCUGGAAUAGAAGCCACCUGACUACUCUGCCGGGGCCCAGGGCCCUGAGUCAUCGGGAUGGGCUCCUGGCUCUCUCACCAGCUCCUGUUCUCCUCUCCGCAGAAAGCUCCCCUCAGCAGUGACCCCUGCCCACAUACCAUAAGGACAGAGGGCCCACGUGCUGGGGUAUGCACAGGAAACGGACCACCGCUCUCCUACACUUGCCAAUGUUUCUGCUCCCACCCAGGUCACAGAGCUCUUGGAUGUCAUCUGUACUUGCUCCACCGCCUCUUCCCUGAUCCACAUGCACCAUGUCAAAGAAGAGUGACAGGACAACCCUCCGGCCCCCCCAGUGAAGAGACACACACCAGCAGCACUGACAAGCCCCCCCAGUGAAGAGACACACACCAGCAGCACUGACAAGCCCCCCCAGUGAAGAGACACACACCAGCAGCACUGACAAGCCCCCCCAGUGAAGAGACACACACCAGCAGCACUGACAAGCCACACCCCGCCCCCAUCAGAUGGUACCUCC